UGAUAUCGUAUCGAUAUCAAAAAGUGCUCCUGUUGAGUGAUUCCCUCUGGUGUCGGAAAAUGUCUCCCCUCCAGAGUGUGUCUACAAGUUUACAAGUUAAUAAAUUUUAUUGAUAAAUUGUUUCCUUUUGUUUGUUUUGUCUAAAUCACAGUUAAAUUUUGUAAUGCUGGUAUUGAAGAGAAAAGAUUGAAAUGAGGAAAAAUUAGGAGGAAGAAGACUUCAUAGACCUCACAUAAAGAAACACUUUGAGUUGAACAUAAUCAUGCAAGAAAGAAAAGAAAAAGGCAAACUUUAAUCUUCUUCUUUCAUCUCUAACCUACAAUUGCCUAUAGCAACUUUGUUUUUCUCUUGUUCUCUUGUUCUCAAUAUUGUUCUUUUACUGUUUCAAAUGUCAACAAUAUCAUUAUCAAUCUAUUAACAUCAACUUUAACCUCAUAUUCAAAAGGCUAAGACAAAUUCAAUUCUCUCUAUCAUCAUCAUGGUAAUCAUCGCCACAAUAAACAUGAUCAAGUUAACGUGUUGUCACGCACAAAAAUCGACUCUCAACAACCAUUGUAACAAGCACCGUACCCAAUCAAUAAAAUACAAAGACUUGUUCAUAAUCAGUGUAAUAUGGCAAUAUGGAUACAUCUAUUCACACAAUAGCAAGAUGAGUAUUUAAUUAAAUUACUUGAUGACAUGAUGAAUACUGUGCAACACUAUUGCACAUUACUUUACUACUUUAAUACAUCCACACCUUUAGUUAUAUAAAUAGUUAACAUUAUUAACAAAAUAAUUUAGCUCAGUUUUUAUACAUUUCAAAUGAUAAGUUGUAAUUAUUAGUGCGCUCAUCAUUCCUACUGAUUGAUGUUGAUUGUGGAUCACUAAUAUCAAAUAAAUUUGGGUGCUCCUUUAGCUGUCAUCAAUAAUGAUCAUCAAAAAAAUAUGUUAGCCUCAACCAAACCCAUUUGAUUGACCCUCGGUCAAAAGGUUAAUACGGAAGGUACAAUUAACAAUUUAUAAAAACACUAAUGUCUACUUCUUUUGUAAUGAGUUUAAGGUUAAUUACUGGUCGAGUUUACUCAAUUUUACGAAAUGCUGAUAUUAAAGUAUGAGUACUUCAAUCUUCUGCACCAACAUUUUUACCAUAACAUUGUAUCGCUAUUUUUUGCCAUAAAUUCAGAUACUGAAUGACACUCGAUGAAAUAUUUAGCAGUUGAAUGGUGUCUGUCAAGCUGGAAAGUCUAGUCAAACUUUUCGCUUUAUUUUUGGAAAAUUUGUUCAAUCCUUUGCAUAAUUUACAUUGCUUA